GACGUAGGGCGCGAGCGUUGUCCGGAUUUAUUGGGCGUAAAGAGCUCGUAGGCGGCUUGUCGCGUCGACUGUGAAACCCGCGGCUACACCGCGGGCCUGACAUUCGAUACGGGCAGGCUAGAGUCGGUAGGGGAGACUGGAAUUCCUGGUGUAGCGGUGAAAUGCGCAGAUAUCGGGAAGAACACCCGUGGCGAAGGCGGCUCUCUGGGACGGUACUGGACGCUGAGACGCGAAAGCGUGGGAGCGAACGAGGA
rnacentral:rRNA from 1 species